rnacentral:rRNA from 1 species
GCUAGUAAUCGCAGGUCAGCAUACUGCGGUGAAUACGUUCCCGGGUCUUGUACACACCGCCCGUCACACCAUGGGAGCCGGAAAUGCCCGAAGCCAGUGACCCAACCUUAGGGAGGGAGCUGUCGAAGGUGGAGCCGGUAACUGGGGUGAAGUCGUAACAAGGUAAC